AGGAGUAUAGUAUAACGGCUAUUAUGUGUGGCUCCAAACCACAAGAUCAGGGUUCGAUUCCUUGUGCUCCUGCAA
rnacentral:tRNA from 1 species